rnacentral:lncRNA from 1 species
UUAUGUGGGCUGUGUUCUCUGGUGUCCAUGACUCCUGUGGUUCCUCCAGUCCUUUCUCCACCUCCUCUAUAGGACUCCAGGAGAUCCCCCUUAAUGUUUGGACGUGGGGCUCUACAUUCGCUCCCAUUGCUGAUCUCUGUGGACUCCUUUCAUAAUGAUUCUGCUAGACUCUGGCCACAGCACACUGCAGGCAGGGCACACAGUAGAUCAAAGAUUUUGUGGCUGAGUUGGUUGUUAUCCCAAUCCCUCCAUUCGAGGCUGUGCCUGAUUACAGAAGAUGGCCAGUUCAGUAUUUGUGUCCUCCAUUUAUAAAUCAUGCUGGAUAAUGCUUUUCAGAAUAUCAAUCUCAGGUUGUCUCAUAUGCAUAUAGUCAUUAUGCUAUUGAUACAUACAUCUACAGUCUGAAGAAUCUAUGUAAAGGCUAAGUAGAAUUUAUUUUUUUAAUGUAUUUUUAUUUUCUUUUUUUUUAGAUAUUUUCUUUAUUUACAUUUCAAAUGUUAUCCCCUUUCCUAGUUUCCUCUCC